CGAGUCCUACGGGGCGCAGCAGUGGGGAAUAUUGCACGAUGGGCGAAAGCCUGAUGCAGCAACGCCGCGUGAGCGAUGAAGGCCUUCGGGUCGUAAAGCUCUGUCCUCAAGGAAGAUAAUGACGGUACUUGAGGAGGAAGCCCCGGCUAACUACGUGCCAGCAGCCGCGGUAAUACGUAGGGGGCUAGCGUUAUCCGGAAUUACUGGGCGUAAAGGGGGCGUAGGUGGUUUCUUAAGUCAGAGGUGAAAGGCUACGGCUCAACCGUAGUAAGCCUUUGAACCUGGGAAACUUGAGUGCAGGAGAG
rnacentral:rRNA from 1 species